GACCGGUUAGCUCAGUUGGUUAGAGCGUGACGCUAAUAGCGCCAAAAUCGCGGGUUCAUUCCCCGUCCUGAGCA